GGGGAUAGCCCGGGGAAACCCGGAUUAAUACCGCAUAAAACAGGGGCACCGCAUGGUGAUAUUUGUUAAAGAUUUAUUGGUGAUAGAUGGGCAUGCGUUCGAUUAGCUAGUUGGCGGGGUAACGGCCCACCAAGGCGACGAUCGAUAGGGGAGCUGAGAGGUUGAUCCCCCACACGGGCACUGAGAUACGGGCCCGACUCCUACGGGAGGCAGCAGUAGGGAAUAUUGGGCAAUGGAUGCAAGUCUGACCCAGCCAUGCCGCGUGCCGGAUGAAGGCCCUCAGGGUUGUAAACGGCUUUUAUUCGGGAAGAAGAGCAGGGAUGCGUCCUUGUGUGACGGUACCGAAUGAAUAAGCACCGGCUAACUCCGUGCCAGCAGCCGCGGUAAUACGGAGGGUGCGAGCGUUGUCCGGAUUUAUUGGGUUUAAAGGGUGCGUAGGUGGCUGUUUAAGUCAGUGGUGAAAUACGGUUGCUCAACAAUCGAGGUGCCAUUGAUACUGAAUAGCUUGAAAUAAUUGGAGGCUGCCGGAAUGGAUGGUGUAGCGGUGAAAUGCAUAGAUAUCAUCCAGAACACCGAUUGCGAAGGCAGGUGGCUACGAUUGGUUUGACACUGAGGCAC
rnacentral:rRNA from 1 species